rnacentral:rRNA from 1 species
GGUGUGUAAUGCCUAGGAAUCUGCCUGGUAGUGGGGGACAACGUUUCGAAAGGAACGCUAAUACCGCAUACGUCCUACGGGAGAAAGCAGGGGACCUUCGGGCCUUGCGCUAUCAGAUGAGCCUAGGUCGGAUUAGCUAGUUGGUGAGGUAAUGGCUCACCAAGGCGACGAUCCGUAACUGGUCUGAGAGGAUGAUCAGUCACACUGGAACUGAGACACGGUCCAG